GACGUAGGGGGCGAGCGUUAUUCGGAAUUACUGGGCGUAAAGCGUGCGCAGGCGGUUCGCUAAGACAGGUGUGAAAUCCCCGGGCUUAACCUGGGAACUGCAUUUGUGACUGCAUCGCUGGAGUGCGGCAGAGGGGGAUGGAAUUCCGCGUGUAGCAGUGAAAUGCGUAGAUAUGCGGAGGAACACCGAUGGCGAAGGCAAUCCCCUGGGCCUGCACUGACGCUCAUGCACGAAAGCGUGGGGAGCAAACAGG
rnacentral:rRNA from 1 species